rnacentral:rRNA from 1 species
AUUGAACGCUGGCGGCAUGCUUUACACAUGCAAGUCGAACGGUAACAGGGUGCUUGCACCGCUGACGAGUGGCGAACGGGUGAGUAAUACAUCGGAAUGUACCCAGUAAUGGGGGAUAACGCUUCGAAAGGAGUGCUAAUACCGCAUACGCCCUGAGGGGGAAAGUGGGGGACCGCAAGGCCUCACGUUAUUGGAGCAGCCGAUGGCUGAUUAGCUAGUUGGUGAGGUAAAGGCUCACCAAGGCGACGAUCAGUAGCGGGUCUUAGAGGACGAUCCGCCACACUGGAACUGAGACACGGUCCAGACUCCUACGGGAGGCAGCAGUAAGGAAUAUUGGACAAUGGACGCAAGUCUGAUCCAGCCAUGCCGCGUGAAGGAUUAAGGUCCUCUGGAUUGUAAACUUCUUUUAUAAGGGACGAAAAAAGGUCUUUCUAGAUCGUCUGACGGUACCUUAUGAAUAAGCACCGGCUAACUCCGUGCCAGCCGCCGCCGUAACAC